rnacentral:rRNA from 1 species
UACGAAGGGGGCUAGCGUUGCUCGGAAUCACUGGGCGUAAAGCGCACGUAGGCGGCUUUUUAAGUCAGGGGUGAAAUCCUGGAGCUUAACUCCAGAACUGCCUUUGAUACUGAGGAGCUAGAGUCCGGAAGAGGCGAGUGGAACUGCGAGUGUAGAGGUGAAAUUCGUAGAUAUUCGCAAGAACACCAGUGGCGAAGGCGGCUCACUGGUCCGGUACUGACGCUGAGGUGCGAAAGCGUGGGGAGCAAACAGG